CAAUCUUAACCGAAGCAACUGCGGAUGCUGUAAAUCAGGAGCAAAAACAGAAGUUGCUGGAAAACGUCAACAGGUCUGGCAGCAUCUGUGAAGAAAGAAAAAAAAAAUCAGAGUUAACGUUUCGUAUCCGGUGACCCUUCCUCAGUAGAGCAACGUUCCGGCUGGUGUUUGCACGCAGGCGCAGCGUCAUUUUGACUGACGCAUGCGGGAGAAUGCAGGUUUUGUCGGAGCCGGUAAUGAAACAAAGGAUGAGGACAUCACCAAAACAACGAAGGGUCCCAGUGAACUGCUACCGAUGUCGAAAUUUGGGGUCUCGGGGUUUAUGCUCCCAUCCCAGAGUGUGGUUUUGAAGUCCCAAUGGUAUUCUGGAUCACCAUACCUGGAGCCUGGAUGAAGACUUUGGACUGUGUGGGUUUUUAAGUUUGGGUUGUGUUAGCUGAUGUGCUAAGGCAUGUUUUGGCCGUUGAGAGACCGUAUCUGGAGUACUAUGUGCAGUUUUGGUCUCCUUUAUCUGAAGAAGGAUGUUCUGACCAUCAAGGCAAUGCUUACCAGACUGAGACCAAGUUGGACUGACAUAUGAAGAGACGUUGGAUUGAUUAGGAGAGUAUUCGCUGUAGUUUUGGGAAAUGAGGGUGGAUCUCAUGGAAAUGUGUAAAAUUCUAACAGGUCUCGACAUAGUAACAGGUAAGAACAAUAUUCCCACUGAUUAAAGAAUCUGGAAACAGGGUUUAUAGUCUAAGGAUACAGAAUAGGCCAUUUAGGACUGAGAUGAGGAAAAAUGCCUUUGCCAGAGGUUUUUUUUUCAUUCAUUCAUGGAAUGAGAAUGUCGCUGGCUCGGCAGCAUUUAUUGCUCAUCCCUAAUUGCCCAGAGGGCAGUUAAGAGUCAACCACCUUGUUGUGGCUGUGGAAUCACACAUAGUCCAGAACAACUAAGAAUGGCAGUUUCCUUCUCUAAAUGAUAUUAGUGAACCCAAUGGGUUUUUUCAACAAUCAACACUGGAUUCAUGGUCAUCAUUAAACCCCAAGUUCCAGGUAUUUAUUGAAUUCAAAUUCUGCCAUGUGACAUGGUGGGUUUUGAACCUAGGUCCCCAGAAUAUUAUUUGGGUCUGUGGAUUAAUAGUCCUGUCAUAAUGCCACUAGGCCAUCACCUCUGAGCCUGUGGUAUUCACUGCCACAGAAAGUGGUUGAGGCCAAACCAUCGAGUGUUUCCAAGAAGUAGUUUAAUCGAGUUCUUUGGAUUAAAGAGAGUAUAUGAUAUAGGGAGCCUGCUAGAUCAGAGGACUGAGUUUGAUAACCAACCAUGGUCAUAGUUAUUGGUAGCACAUGCUUGAGUGGGCAGUUGUAUUCUACUUUUGCUCCUCAUUCAUAUUUAUGUUCUUACAUAUGUUUAGGGGCCCAAGUGAGCAGGUCAGUAUGUAAAAGGGACCAUGGGAAAUGCGUUAGUAUUUAUGGUGGGUCCUGUGGAUUACAUCAGUAUUUACUGUGGGUCUCAGGGAGUGCAUCAGUCUUUACAGUGAGUCCCUGGGAGUGUGUCGGUCUUUAAUGGGAAUGUACAGAGUGUAGCGCCAGACUAGAUGAACUGAAGCUGUAUCUGUUUUUACAAGGGUCUCAGCUCGUGGUCGUGUGACAAAACUGUCACUUUCAAAAGGUUAUUUUGUAGUUUUUUUGAAGAUCGCUUGUCAAGGCAGAGGUGGUGAAAUGUCCUGGGGUUUUAGGAGGCCUUUGGGUUUUUUUUGUUUAAAACCAACAUAACAAUGGAAGAGGGGUGGCCAAUUCAGGCUUUCUAGUUCUACUUCAGCUGUAGCAGCCACAAGAUUUCGUGUGUCCAGAGGGGUUGCAAGCUUCAAUAAAUAAUUCCUAACUGGCUUUCUCGGAACUCUCUCUCUGGAUGUUGUUCCCUCCUGCCUUUAAGAAUCUGUGUUUGAAAUUACCUUUUUGCCAAGGGAUGUGACUAUAUUUGAACAGUCAAUUUGUAAUAGUCACUGUAUUGGCUAGGUUAGGUUUUCCAAUAUUUGUUAUUCAAAAUUCUUCUUCGUUCUACUCAUGUUUUAACUGUAGUGUUUAAAUAAAUUGUGUUUUGCUUCAAAACAAGUGCAUCAUACCUGGAACACCCAGUUGACAUCUGCCGAUGAAAUAAGAAAGUUAGGAUCUAAAGAUAACAGUGUGGAGCUGGAGGAACACAGCAGGUCAGGCAACAUCAGAGGAGCAGAAAAGUUGACAUUUCAGGUUGAGACCCUUCUGACUAUCUCAAAUUUUGGGUCUCGGCUCCUUUCUUAAAAUCUUGAGGAAAUUCUCGCCCGGCCCAUAACAGACAUAGCAGACAGUAAUUCUACAAUUCCACUUUGGGAUUGGGGUUAAUUGACUCAAAGGUGGUGAAUGGUAGUUGUUAGUGUCGUUUGUUUUGGGUGUUGCAUUCCCUUGGUUUAAACAGGGAGUGCCUUGUGUAGGAAUGGUGCUUUCAGCCAUCACUCAGUUUCCUGGGGGUGGAAGCAGUGACUUUGGGGUUUUUACAAAAAGUGACCAAGGCAAACCUAUUGGAAUUGGCAGACCAGCUGGAGUUGGGGUUACCCUCCUCUGUGAGGAAAGGAGAGGGACUGACAACGCCCCUUGGAAAUGGCUAAGAUUCAGUUGCAGAUGAAGCAGCUUGGACAGGAAAAGGAACUCAAACAGCCUGGAUUCUGGUUAAAAGCAGAGGAAAGAUAAGAAUCGCCCCCGCAGCUAAUGUGGAUAGUCAGAAUCACUUUUUCUAGUGCAAAAAUACUUGGGUGCCCAGGAUGGAGAAAAUUUUGAAUGAGAUUUGUGAGGCGCAUUAAACAAGUUUUUGUGUAGGAUUGAGACAAAUGCAAUAAACAGGCAGAUGGUAUUAUUUUAGAAUAACAUUGUGGUAGGCAUAGCCAUGGUAGGCCAAAGGGCCUGGUGCUGAGCUUUACAGUUUUUUGUUUAAACCCUGCUGAAAAAAGCACAGAGAAUCUUAGAUAUUUCAUUAUUUAUCCCUCAUUCUUCUAAACGACAAUGAGACAGGCUCAGACUACUUAACCUCUCCUCAUUGGAAAAUCUCUCCAUUCCCAAGAUCAGCCCAGUGAACCUUCUCUGGCCUGUUGCUCAUUCAAGGAUAUCUUUCCAAAGGGCUGUCAUACUGUUCAUAAUAUUCUUGGUAUAGUCUGACUCAACUUAUUUAUUUUAGCAAGGACUCCCUGUUUUUAAACUUCAUUUCCUUUUUAAUAAUUGUCAGAAUUUGAUUUGCCUUCUCUAUUACCUGCUGAACUUGUAAGUUCCCUUUUUCAGAUUGAUACUCAAGAUUCCCAAAACCCUUCGUGCAGUCAGUCUGAAACCGAACAGUGUUAGCCUGACAGCAAGUUAGAAAUGUGCUGGACUGUAUUACAAAGGAUAUGACCAGAAACAAUGGUUGCACCCUUCAAAACAACAGAAGAUGCAUGAGUUUAUGAAAAGGAAUUUUUUUUCAUGAUCCUGUUCGAUUUCAUUUUUUUUUGACGUGGCUUUCAAUUGCAGAAUAAAUAAGGUGAAGGAGGGGAUUGGCAUUAGGGGGAUAUGGUUAAUUUGUAUUUUCAAAAUCAUUUUGACGAGUUUGAACAGGGACUGGAGAGUAUCUAGGAGUGAAUAGGGCCUCUUAAAGAUCAACAAAGCCAUUAUAUGUGGGACAACUAGAGAUGGAUGCAAUCCUAAACAAGUAUUUCCCUUCAGUAUUUACUGUGGAGAAAAACAUAGCACCUCAGGAACUUGGUGAAAUAAACAGUGGAGACUAGAAAAGAGUCCACAAUUGAAAGCAUGAGGUGCCGGGAGUCUUAAAAUGCACAAAGGCAUGUAAAUCCUCAGGCCUUGAACAGGUUUAUCCCGGGACAUUGUGGAAGGCUAGGUAAGAAAUUGUGAGAUGCUGUAGCAGAGAUAUUUUAUCAUCAACAGCCACGAUGAGAUGCCAGAAGACUGGAGAGUGGCUAAUGUUGUUACAUCACUUCAGGGCUGCAAGGCAAAGCCUGGAAACUACAACCCAGUGACACUGACAGUGGUGGGUAUGUCGUUGGAGGAGAUCCUGAGAGACUGGAUCUUUAUGCAUUUGGAAAGGCAAGGAUUGAUUAGGUCUAGUCAGCGUGGCUUUGUGUGUGGAAAAUCGUGGCUCAGAAAGUUGAUUUUGUUUUGAGAGAGUAGCCAUAAGGCAGAGUGGUACAUGGCUCUCAGCAAGGUUAGAUCGCACAGGCUCCUGUGAAAGCUUGCAAGUUGUGUACAAGAUGGGCUUGACAGAGUGCUGGCAGAGGUUUGUUGUUAUUACUGGAGGCCUGUACAUGUGCUGCCAGGUUCGGUUAUGUUGUGUGUCAUUUAUAUUGAUGGUUUGAAUGAGAGUAUAGGAGUCAUGGUUAGUAAGUUUGUGGGUGACAGUAAAAUUAGUGGUAUACUGGACAGUGAAGGAGGUUAUCUAAGAAUUCAAUGAGAUCUUGAUCUAUCCGGUUGAUGGGAUGAGGAACUGCAGAUGGAGGUUAAGGUGGAUAAAUGUGAAUUAUUGAAUCUUGGAAAGACAAACCAGGGCAGAACACAAACAGCUAGUGUUCAGGCCCUGGAUGGUGUUGUCAAACAGAGAGACUUGGGGGUGCAGAUACAUAGUUCCCUGAAAGUGACAUCACAGGUAGAUGGGGUGAUGAAUGUGACAUUUGGCAUGGCUUGCCUUCAUUGGUUAGAGCAUUUGGAAUAAGAGAUUGGGAUGUCAGGCUGUGGCUGUUCAGGACAUUGAGGCCACCAAAAAAGCAUUCUUAAUUAUCAGGAAAAACUUAACUGGUUCACUUGUGUCCUUCGGGGAAGGACAUCCGACAUUCUUAGCUGCUCCAGCCGAUGUGAUUUCAGACCCCAGCAAUAUAGUUGACUCUGAGCCGUGCUCUGGCAAUUAGUGAUGGGCAAUGAUUGAUCGACCAGCUGGUGACAUCCUCAUGCCAUGAAUGAAUAAAUAAAAGUACAUAUUUCCCUCCCUACCUCUACGGACACCUCCGGCUCAGCAAUUCCUCCUGGAUUUGUAACAUCGUUCAGGCCCUUGCCACUUUCCGUAACACACUCAUCACCUCCAGCACCUUCAACUUACCCUGUUCCUAUCAUCUCAAUAAAUCCCAACAAUGUUUCCUGUUCCUACUGCAUUCCUCUGCUAGGAAAUCCCUUGCAAUCCCUUUCAUACCUAUGUCCAUACUUUGGUAGCCCUCUUUUGCUAAAGAGUCUCUUUCUUCUGAUUUGAUCUGAUUUUUAUUUUUGUGUGGUUUUCUAAGGUUCUUUCAAUUGAAUAUAUUCCUUUACACCCUGAGUAAGACUCAGGUAGGAAUUUCUUGCUGAGCUUUUGGCAAUAGAAUGCCCUUUUUGUUGGAUAUUUUACAGUGUUCGUUCAAACGUUUUCCACUAUUGAUUUACAGCCAUACAUUUCAGUCAGUUUACCCUGUUUACACUGGUCAGUUCUCCUCUCAAUGUCAUACCGUUGGCUUUGUUUCUAUGUCUAAUUGUUGCUUGUUUUUUGUAUGGUUACAUUAAAACUUCAUAAUCCCUUUGAAUUCAGCUUUUUCAUUAAUUCCCUUCAGAUCUCUGUGUGACAUGACUCAUUCACUCCGCUUCAUCACACAACAGUCAAGCUGGGAUAGUUACAUCCCUAGCCAGUUGCGCAACAUGUUAUUCAAAGAAAUACUGACAAAAAUGUUCUCCGAGCUCCUCUUCAGAUGCCACUAUUUUAUUGCACAUACUUUGUCCAUUUCAUAAAGUAACAUUAUCAUGUACUUUAUACUACAAUUUCCUGUCCCAAACUGAUGUAUAGUUUAUGAAACUCUGUGCUUCCUGUCCCUCUCUGCUUGUCUUCAGCCACAUCACCAUGCUGUUCCGAUCACAUUUUCUGUUUGGAUUUGAACAUCUCCUUUCCCCUGAACCCUGUCCCAGCAUCCUCUCGGUCAGUUUAAAGCCCUGUCCAUAAACCUACUGACAUGAUUUCCCAGGACACUGGUCCCAGCAUGGUUCCAGUUGUUAUUUAUUCACUCAUGAAAUGUGGGUGUCUCUGGUGGGCCAGCAUUUAUUGCCCACCCUGCGCUACCCUUGAACUGAAUGUCUUGUUGUGCCAUUUCACAGGGUAGUUGUGAGUCAACCACGUUCCUGUGGGUCUGAAGUCACAUGUAAGCCUGACCAAGUGAAGAUGGCAGAUUUUCUCCCCUAAUUACUGAGUCUGAGUCAGACUCAAGCAUGAGUCAUCAUGGGAGGCCUACUUUCAUCUUUGUGAUACUGUACCUUCCGAGACAGCAGAGGAAGUUCAUAUCCGUCCAGGCCUGUGCUGUCUUUGUGAGGAUCCGCACAACAGAUGUGAAAGCACAUCUCCCACGACAGGGCGGUAAUGCUGUCUCUGAUCUUGUUCUGCGUUUCCCCUCCAUGACUGUAUCUGUAUCAUGUCUUGUGGAUCAGUGUCUUCAAUCGUUCUCACUCCUAUUUCAGUCACCACCUCUCCUCUCUACAAUCCCUCCAUAAAUUUGAAACUUACUCUGAUCCUGACCACCAUUCCUGUCUCUGUAAAUUGCUUCAGUCUCUGCAAUAUGCCUUAUCUCAGCAGUCUCCUCCUCCAGUUACUGGAGUCAUAGAAUUGUGAAGCACGGAAAGAGACCCUUUGGCCCAACUCAUCCAUACUGACGGGGUUUCCCCGAACUGAACAAGUCACAUUUGCCUGCUUUUGGCCCGUAUCCUUCCAAACCUUUCCUGAUGGUAUACCUUCCCCAAUGUCUUUUCAUAGUUGUAAUUGUACCUAUCUUUCCUACUUCCUCUGACACCUCAUUCCAUAUUUGCACCAUUCUCUGUGUGGAAAAACAUUACCCCUCAGGUCUGUUUUAAAACUUUCCACUCUCACUUCAAGCCUAUGCUCUGUACUUUUGGAGUCCCCUACCCUGGGAGCAAAGACCUUGUCUAUUCACCUUUUAUAUGCUGCUCAGGCAUUCAUAAACCUCUAAAAGACCACUCCACAGCCCCCUGUGCUUGAAGGAAAUAUCUCUGCUUGGGGUGCCACAAAUUCAGCCCUGGUUUCCCAAACAUCCUCCGGUACAUUUGAUCAAGCUUUUCAAGACCUCCUACAGCACUUUUCUGUCAUGUGGACUUUUUUCAAGACAUCAUUCUUUAUUUCCCUGAAUUUGAGUCCUUCUCCACACUAAGUACUGAUGUGAAAUCUUGUUUAACAUCUCAAACAGCUUGCUUCUUCAAAUUUGUUCUGGGACCUCUGCUGUUUGUGAUCUUUAUGAAUGACUUGCAUGAGGAAGUGGAAGGGUGGGUUAGUAAGUUUGCUGAUGACACGAAGGUUGGUGGAGUUGUGGGCAGCGUUGUAGGUUGCGAUGAGAGAUUGACAGGAUGCAGAGUUGGGCAAAGAAUUAGCAGAUGGAAUUCAACCCAGAAAAGCACGAAGUGAUUCAUUUUAUAACUUCAAAUUUGUAUGCAGAAUACAGGCUUAAUGGCAGGAUUCUUGGCAGCGUGGAAGAACAGAGGGAUCUUGGGAUCCGUGCCCAUGGAUCCCUCAAAGUGGCUACCCAAGUUGAUAAGAUUGUAAAAGUGGCGUAUGGUGUGUUGACUUUCAUUAGCAGGGGAAUUGAGUUUGAGCAGUGACAUCAUGCUGCAGGUCUAUAAAUCUCUGGUUGGACCACACUUGGAAUAUGGUGUUCAGUUCUGGUCACCUCAUCAGAGGAAAGGUGUGGAAGCUUUAGAGAGUGUGCAGAGGAGAUUUACCAGGAUUCUGCCUGGACUGGAGGGCAGACAUCAUGAGGAAAGGUUGACUGAGCUAGGGCUUUUUUCAUUGGAGCAAAGAAGAAGAAUGUGAGGUGACUUGACAGAGGUGUGCAAGAUGAUGAGAGGCAAGAGAUGGAGUGGAAUAGUCACAGACUUUUUCCGAGGCAGAAAUGAUUAUUAUGAGGGGGCGUAAUUUUAAGGUGAUUGGAGGAAGGUAUAGGGGAGAUGUCAGAGGUAGAUUCUUCACACACUGUGGUUGGCUUCUGGAAUGCACUGCCAGCAAUGGUCGUGGAGUCAGAUACUUUAGAGACUUUUAACUGACUCUUGGAUAGACACAUGGAGGAUUGUAAAAUGUAAGAUAUGCAGGGUAGAUUGACCUUAGUAGGAUAACAGGUCGACACAACAUUGUUAUUUCACGUCCCAUUUUUGCCAUCUGGAUUUCCUUCAUAAAGUGUAUUCCUACACUCCCAUAUUCCUGAAGGGAUGCAUUGAUCCAGCUGUAUCCCCUCUUUCUUGAUCAGAUCCUCUCUAUCACCAGUCAUCCAGUGUUUUCUAUUUCUGUCAGCAUUGUCCAUCACACUAAUAAGAACAUGCUGACCCUGACCUCUCUAUCUUGCUUUUGAAAGCUUCCAACUUGUCAGAUGCCCCUUUACCUGCAAAUAGCUUGCCCAACCAUUUUUUUGAAAAUUCCUGUCAAAUACCAUCAAAAUUGGUCUAACUGCAAUUUAUAACUUUAGUUGUGGACCAGGCCAAUCAUUUUCCAGAGCGAUUUUCAAACUGAUAAAAUUGUGGUCGCUUGUCAAAGUGUUGCCCGAAUAACACAUUAGUCCCUUGCCGACCUUGUUUCGCACGUGGCUGUCAGGUUUUGUCCCUUCUCCUCUCGGUCCAUCUACGGACAGUUUUCUUGAACAAACUUAACAAAUUCCUCCCAUCAAAGCGCUUCACACUAUGGCAGUACCAGUCUAGGUUUGGAAAAUUAUAAUCCCAACCAUGACACCCUUUAUUAUUCUCACAGUUAUCUAAGAUCUCUCAGCAUAUUUAGAACAUAGAACAGUACAGCACAGAACAGGCCCUUCAGCCCACGAUGUCGUGCCGACCAUUGAUCCUCAUGUAUGCACCCUCAAAUUUCUCUGACCAUAUGCAUGUCCAGCAGUCUCUUAAAUGACCCCAAUGACCUUGCUUCCACAACUGCUGCUGGCAACGCAUUCCAUGCUCUCACAACUCUGUGUAAAGAACCCACCUCUGACAUCCCCUGUAUACUUUCCUCCAACCAGCUUAAAACUAUGACCCCUCGUGCGAGCCAUUGCUGCCCUGGGAAAUAGUCUCUGGCUAUCAACUCUAUCUCUGCCUCUCAUUGUCUUGUAUACCUCAAUUAGGUCCCCUCUCCUCCUCCUUUUCUCCAAUGAAAAGAGACCGAGCUCAGUCAACCUCUCUUCAUAAGAUAAGCCCUCCAGUCCAGGCAGCAUCCUGGUAAACCUCCUCUGAACCCUCUCCAAAGCAUCCACAUCUUUCCUAUAAUACGGCGACCAGAACUGGACGUAGUAUUCCAAGUGCAGUCUAACCAAGGUUUUAUAGAGCUGCAACAAGAUCUCACGACGCUUAAACUCAAUCCCCCUGUUAAUGAAAGCCAAAACACCAUAUGCUUUCUUAACAACCCUGUCCACUUGGGUGGCCAUUUUAAGGGAUCUAUGUAUCUGCACACCAAGAUCCCUCUGUUCCUCCACACUGCCAAGAAUCCUAUCCUUAAUCCUGUACUCAGCUUUCAAAUUCAACCUUCCAAAAUGCAUCACCUUGCAUUGAUCCAGGUUGAACUCCAUCUGCCACCUCUCAGCCCAUCUGUGCAUCCUGUCAAUUCUCUUAUUCCUCACAUAAGUGUAAAAUGCCUUGGUGUUUUCCCUAAUUCAUUCUGCCAAGCCUUUCUCAUGUCCCCUCCUGGCUCUCCUCAGACCAUUUUUGAGCUCCUUCCUUUCCUGAGUGUAAUCCUCUCUAGCUGAACUUGACCCUAGCUUCCUCCACCUUAUGUAAGCUACCUUCUUCCUUUUCACAAGAAGCUCCACCGCUCUCGUCAUCCAAGGUUCCUUUAUCUUACCCCUUUACUCAUCACUCGCAACAACUGUUCCUUAAACAGUCUCCACAUGUCUAUAGUUCCCUUACCAUGGAACAAUUGCUCCCAGUCCAUGCUUCCUAACUCGUGUCUAAUCGCGUCAUAGUUUCCUCUUCCCCAAUUAAAUA